rnacentral:tRNA from 1 species
GGAGGUGUGGCUCAAGUGGUAGAGCACCUGCCUAACAAGCACGAAGAUAUGGGUUCAACCCACAGCCCUG